rnacentral:lncRNA from 1 species
GUACACCCCUUUUUAACAUUAUGCUAGUUACAGUUAACCCUACAUUUACUAAUUUGAACCUUUUCCCCUCACAGAUGACCUUCAGUUCAACUUGGAGGAUGCUCUCCGUCCAGCUGUAAAAUCCACUGACAAUCCCAAUGGAGGAGGAGAUUGCCAGGGAAAUGUGGCGCAAAAACUCCACACCGUCAUCGAGAACCAGGACCAGCAGCUCCGCCUCCUGAUGCAGCUGCUAGCUCAGAAAUCUUCAGUUCCUGUGGGACGAAAGUGAAAACUCUUUUUUUGUCCAACACAUUUUUUUAUUUGCCAACACCAUACUGACUCAACCUUGCUUGUUUUUAGAUGACAGCCACCUGACCACGUCUGAUGUCAC